CUACUAUGUGGAGGGCGAGGAAGACAAUGUCUACUACGAAGGGGCUGAAGAGUGGGAGAGCGACUGUUACGAAGAGGCCGACUUCUACUAUGAGGAUGAGGAAGAUGAGAACAUCUACUACGAGAUUGACUACUAUGGGGAGGAUGAGGAAGAGGAGGACGGGGAUGUUUACUACGAGUUUGGCUACUACGAGGUGGAGGAAGAGGAGGAGGAAGAGGAGCCAGCACAAUUGGUGGAGGAAGCAGUUGGCACUGGAGCCUCUGCUGCCACCAAGCAGUAAGCAAGUGUCUAAAAGUCCCAGUCCCCAGCUGCCGCCGCCCUUUUGCUUAAGCCUCGGGACUUUCUGCACAAUAACUGCCUUCCGAUAGCCCUCCACGAAAGCACCUUUCCCUCUGCUGUUCUACGCUCUGUCCUAUAGAAAAUAACUUACCUUGAUGAUCAGGGGUCUUGGUGGCUUGCCAUAUACCCUGAAGAAAAGCGGUGUGUGUGGUGUGCGCCUGCACCCUACAUAAACCUACCCCCAGCACUAGGCCGCUGCUCAACUGUCCUCUCGAGUGCCCUGGACUUUGCUGCCUUGAAAAAACGUGACAUUCUCAACAGUCAAAAGUUGUUACUCAAGAAAGUCUCUCAUCCUUGGAGUAUCACACCAUCAGAGAAACUACAAAUGGAAAUGGCUGGAAAAUGGCAUCUGGUCUUCAGGCUUGGGGAAAGAAGAUUUAGUGACGUGAUUUCCUGGUCAAUUGGUGACUUUCCAGGGGUGCCGUUUUGCCAUAGACUGUGGGUCUGGCCAACUGACUCAUUUUGUCCCAGCAUCCCACCUUCCACAUGGCGCAUGGUCUUUUUCUUCCAUUUAAUGAGAAAGUAGUAAGG